GACGAACGGUGCAAACGUUGUUCGGAAUCACUGGGCUUAAAGGGCGCGUAGGCGGGCCAGCCAGUCUGUGGUGAAAGCCUCCAGCUUAACUGGAGAAGUGCCGUGGAUACUGCUGGCCUCGAGGAGGAUAGGGGCAUCUGGAACGGUCGGUGGAGCGGUGAAAUGCGUUGAUAUCGACCGGAACUCCGGUGGCGAAGGCGAGGUGCUGGGUCCUUUCUGACGCUGAUGCGCGAAAGCCAGGGGAGCAAACGGG
rnacentral:rRNA from 1 species